GACGAACGCUGGCGGCGUGCCUAAUACAUGCAAGUUGAGCGCUGAAGGUUGGUACUUGUACCAACUGGAUGAGCAGCGAACGGGUGAGUAACGCGUGGGGAAUCUGCCUUUGAGCGGGGGACAACAUUUGGAAACGAAUGCUAAUACCGCAUAAAAACUUUAAACACAAGUUUUAAGUUUGAAAGAUGCAAUUGCAUCACUCAAAGAUGAUCCCGCGUUGUAUUAGCUAGUUGGUGAGGUAAAGGCUCACCAAGGCGAUGAUACAUAGCCGACCUGAGAGGGUGGUCGGCCACAUUGGGACUGGGACACGGCCCAAACUCCUACGGGAGGCAGCCGUAGGGAAUCUUCGGCAAUGGACGAAAGUCUGACCGAGCAACGCCGCGUGAGUGAAGAAGGUUGUCGGAUCGUAAAACUCUGUUGGUAGAGAAGAACGUUGGUGAGAGUGGAAAGCUCAUCAAGUGACGGUAACUACCCAGAAAGGGACGGCUAACUACGUG
rnacentral:rRNA from 1 species